rnacentral:rRNA from 1 species
AUUGAACGCUGGCGGCAGGCCUAACACAUGCAAGUCGGACGGUAGCACAGAGGAGCUUGCUCCUCGGGUGACGAGUGGCGGACGGGUGAGUAAUGUCUGGGGAUCUGCCCGAUAGCGGGGGAUAACCACUGGAAACGGUGGCUAAUACCGCAUAACGUCGCAAGACCAAAGAGGGGGACCUUCGGGCCUCUCACUAUCGGAUGAACCCAGAUGGGAUUAGCUAGUAGGCGGGGCAACGGCCCACCUAGGCGACGAUCCCAAGCUGGUCUGAGAGGAUGACCAGCCACACUGGAACUGAGACACGGUCCAGAGUCCUACGGGAGGCAGCAGUGGGGAAUAUUGCACAAUGGGCGCAAGCCUGAUGCAGCCAUGCCGCGUGUAUGAAGAAGGCCUUCGGGUUGUAAAGUACUUUCAGCGGGGAGGAAGGCGAUGUGGUUAAUAACCGCGUCGAUUGCCGUUACCCGCAGAAGAAGCACCGGCUAACUCCGUGCCAGCAGCCGCCGUAA